GUGCCAGAAGAGAGAAGAGAAAAAAGAAAAAGAGACAAACACCUUUUCCAGAUGACCCUGUCUGAAAGUUCCAAGACCAUGACCCAAAAUAAACAAUCUGUCUUUCCUCGAAAACUGGCUUCUAACAGGAAGAGUGGGAUGAAAAUCCAAAUAGUUUAAGUUUCCAAGAGUGUGUGGAAGCUCCCCGCCGUGAGUGUUUCGCUGGGUUCGGCUGCAGCAGACGAGGAUUUCCUCCUGUGAAGCAGACCUCGAUUCAAUCAGAAAGCAGGUGGUUAGCCCCAUAGUAGUGGUGCCAUUACUGCAUGAGUGCUCAUGUCCUCCUCGGCAGGGUGAAGUGCGGGAGUGAAGAAUUGGAAAGCACACCGGUUUCCUAAGGCUGACUGGAGACUUGGGAUGUUUCUGUUUAAAUCUCACUAAUGUAUUCCAAACAUCGAGCCUUAGGCUUUCUCCCCCCCCACCCCCACCCC